rnacentral:rRNA from 1 species
UCGGUCCCUAUCCGUCGUGGGCGUAGGAAAUUUGAGAGGAGCUGUCCUUAGUACGAGAGGACCGGGAUGGACACACCGCUGGUGUACCAGUUGUCUUGCCAAAGGCAUCGCUGGGUAGCUAUGUGUGGACGGGAUAAGUGCUGAAAGCAUCUAAGCAUGAAGCCCCCCUCAAGAUGAGAUUUCCCAUAGCGCAAGCUAGUAAGAUCCCUGAAAGAUGAUCAGGUUGAUAGGUCAGAGGUGGAAGCACGGUGACGUGUGUAGCUGACUGAUACUAAUCGAUCGAGGACUUAACCAAAA